UACGUAGGGGGCGAGCGUUAAUCGGAAUUACUGGGCGUAAAGCGUGCGCAGGCGGUUUGGUAAGACAGAUGUGAAAUUCCCGGGCUUAACCUGGGAACUGCAUUUGUGACUGCCAGGCUAGAGUGCGGCAGAGGGGCGUGGAAUUCCGCGUGUAGCAGUGAAAUGCGUAGCUAUGCGGAGGAACACCGAUGGCGAAGGCAACUCCCUGGGCCUGCACUGACGCUCAUGCACGAAGGCGUGGGGAGCAAACAGG
rnacentral:rRNA from 1 species